rnacentral:rRNA from 1 species
UACGUAGGGCGCAAGCGUUGUCCGGAAUUAUUGGGCGUAAAGAGCUCGUAGGCGGUUUGUCGCGUCUGCUGUGAAAACCUAAGGCUCAACCUUGGGCUUGCAGUGGGUACGGGCAGACUAGAGUGCGGUAGGGGUGACUGGAAUUCCUGGUGUAGCGGUGGAAUGCGCAGAUAUCAGGAGGAACACCGAUGGCGAAGGCAGGUCACUGGGCCGCAACUGACGCUAAGGAGCGAAAGCAUGGGGAGCGAACAGG